UACAGAGGUCUCAAGCGUUGUUCGGAUUCAUUGGGCGUAAAGGGUGCGUAGGCGGCGCGGUAAGUCGGGUGUGAAAUCUUGGAGCUUAACUCCGAAACUGCAUUCGAUACUGCCGUGCUUGAGGACUGGAGAGGAGACUGGAAUUUACGGUGUAGCGGUGAAAUGCGUAGAUAUCGUAAGGAAGACCAGUGGCGAAGGCGGGUCUCUGGACCUCUGCUGACGCUGAGGCGCGAAAGCGUGGGGAGCGAUCCGG
rnacentral:rRNA from 1 species